UGUACCUACGGGAGGCAGCAGUAGGGAAUAUUGCUCAAUGGGGGAAACCCUGAAGCAGCAACGCCGCGUGAGUGAGGAAGUAUUUCGGUAUGUAAAGCUCUAUCAGCAGGGAAUAGAAAAGAAGGUACCUGAAAAAGAAGCCCCGGCUAACUACGUGCCAGCAGCCGCGGUAAUACGUAGGUGGCAAGCGUUGUCCGGAUUUACUGGGUGUAAAGGGCGUGCAGCCGGGAAGACAAGUCAGAUGUGAAAUCCCGCGGCUCAACCGCGGAACUGCAUUUGAAACUGUUUUUCUUGAGUACCGGAGA
rnacentral:rRNA from 1 species